rnacentral:piRNA from 1 species
UCUCACGUUUAUUGGGGUUCACUGGCCUU